rnacentral:rRNA from 1 species
CACAGUAAACGAUGGAUGCCCGCUGUAUGCGAUAUAGUGUAUGCGGCCAAGCGAAAGCGUUAAGCAUCCCACCUGGGGAGUACGCCGGCAACGGUGAAACUCAAAGGAAUUGACGGGGGCCCGCACAAGCGGAGGAACAUGUGGUUUAAUUCGAUGAUACGCGAGGAACCUUACCCGGGCUUGAACUGCCAGCGAACGAUACAGAGAUGUUGAGGCCCUUCGGGGCGCUGGUGGAGGUGCUGCAUGGUUGUCGUCAGCUCGUGCCGUGAGGUGUCGGCUUAAGUGCCAUAACGAGCGCAACCCCUGCGACUAGUUGCCAUCAGGUUAUGCUGGGCACUCUGGUUGGACUGCCACCGUAAGGUGUGAGGAAGGUGGGGAUGACGUCAAAUCAGCACGGCCCUUACGUCCGGGGCUACACACGUGUUACAAUGGGAGGUACAGAGAGAUGGUGUUCCGCAAGGCGCAUCUAAUCCUAAAAGCCUUCCUCAGUUCGGAUUGGGGUCUGCAACCCGACC